rnacentral:rRNA from 2 species
GGGGAAUAUUGCACAAUGGGCGAAAGCCUGAUGCAGCAACGCCGCGUGAGCGAUGAAGGCCUUUGGGUCGUAAAGCUCUGUCCUUGGGGAAGAAAAAAAUGACGGUACCCUUGGAGGAAGCCCCGGCUAACUACGUGCCAGCAGCCGCGGUAAUACGUAGGGGGCAAGCGUUAUCCGGAAUUAUUGGGCGUAAAGAGUGCGUAGGUGGUUUUGUAAGCGCGGGGUGAAAGGCUAUGGCUCAACCAUAGUAAGCCUUGCGAACUGUAAGACUUGAGUGCAGGAGAGGAAAGCGGAAUUCCUAGUGUAGCGGUGAAAUGCGUAGAUAUUAGGAGGAACACCAGUGGCGAAGGCGGCUUUCUGGACUGUAACUGACACUGAGGCACGAAAGCGUGGGGAGCAAACA